rnacentral:miRNA from 1 species
GGUUGGUGCAAAAGUAACUGCGGUUUUUGCCAUCAAUGGAAAAAACUGCAGUUACUUUUGCACCAA